AGAUUGAACGCUAGCGGGAUGCUUUACACAUGCAAGUCGAACGGCAGCGCGGACUUCGGUCUGGCGGCGAGUGGCGAACGGGUGAGUAAUAUAUCGGAACGUGCCCAGUAGCGGGGGGAUAACUACGCGAAAGCGUGGCUAAUACCGCAUACGCCCUACGGGGGAAAGGGGGGGAUUCUUUCGAGAACCUCUCACUAUUGGAGCGGCCGAUAUCAGAUUAGCUAGUUGGUGAGGUAAAGGCUCACCAAGGCGACGAUCUGUAGCUGGUUUGAGAGGACGACCAGCCACACUGGGACUGAGACACGGCCCAGACUCCUACGGGAGGCAGCAGUGGGGAAUUUGGACAAUGGGCGAAAGCCUGAUCCAGCCAUGCCGCGUGCAGGAUGAAGGCCUUCGGGUUGUAAACGUGUCUUUUGUACGGAACGAAAGUCUCUUUCUAAUAAGAGGAUCAUGACGUACGUAAGAAUAAGCACCGGACUAACUACGUGACCAGUACGCCGCGGUAA
rnacentral:rRNA from 1 species